CCAGACUCCUACGGGAGGCAGCAGUGGGGAAUAUUGGGCAAUGGGCGCAAGCCUGACCCAGCAACGCCGCGUGAAGGAAGAAGGCUUUCGGGUUGUAAACUUCUUUUCUGGGGGAUGAAGAAAGUGACGGUACCCCAGGAAUAAGCCACGGCUAACUACGUGCCAGCAGCCGCGGUAAUACGUAGGUGGCAAGCGUUAUCCGGAUUUAUUGGGUGUAAAGGGCGUGUAGGCGGGAAUGCAAGUCAGAUGUGAAAACUAUGGGCUCAACCCAUAGCCUGCAUUUGAAACUGUAUUUCUUGAGUGCUGGAGAGGCAAUCGGAAUUCCGUGUGUAGCGGUGAAAUGCGUAGAUAUUAGGAGGAACACCAGUGGCGAAGGCGGCCUGCUGGACGACAACUGACGGUGAGGCGCGAAAGCGUGGGGAGCAAACAGGAUUAGAUACCCCUGUA
rnacentral:rRNA from 1 species